rnacentral:rRNA from 1 species
AUUGAACGCUGGCGGCAGGCCUAACACAUGCAAGUCGAACGGUAACAGGAAGAAGCUUGCUUCUUUGCUGACGAGUGGCGGACGGGUGAGUAAUGUCUGGGAAACUGCCUGAUGGAGGGGGAUAACUAUUGGAAACGGUAGCUAAUACCGCAUAACGUCGCAAGACCAAAGAGGGGGACCUUCGGGCCUCUUGCCAUCGGAUGUGCCCAGAUGGGAUUAGCUUGUUGGUGGGGUAACGGCUCACCAAGGCGACGAUCCCUAGCUGGUCUGAGAGGAUGACCAGCCACACUGGAACUGAGACACGGUCCAGACUCCUACGGGAGGCAGCAGUGGGGAAUAUUGCACAAUGGGCGCAAGCCUGAUGCAGCCAUGCCGCGUGUAUGAAGAAGGCCUUCGGGUUGUAAAGUACUUUCAGCGGGGAGGAAGGGAGUAAAGUUAAUACCUUGGCUCAUUGACGUUACCCGCAGAAGAAGCACCGGCUAACUCCGUG